ensembl:snRNA
ACAUUGUGUGAAAGGAAAGAAAGUUAACACUUCCUUAACAGGAAUAAAAGGAGACAUUGGGACCUAACAACGCUCAUAUGGUUAAGACCUUGCCGCCUACCUAGGCAUCUAACCAUUUUUC